AUAUUGGACAAUGGGCGAAAGCCUGAUCCAGCCAUGCCGCGUGAGUGAUGAAGGCCUUAGGGUUGUAAAGCUCUUUCGCGCGCGACGAUAAUGACGGUAGCGCGAGAAGAAGCCCCGGCUAACUUCGUGCCAGCAGCCGCGGUAAUACGAAGGGGGCUAGCGUUGUUCGGAAUCACUGGGCGUAAAGCGCAUGCAGGCGGAUCGUUAAGUCGGGGGUGAAAUCCCGAGGCUCAACCUCGGAACUGCCUUCGAUACUGGCGAUCUUGAGUCCGGGAGAGGUGAGUGGAACUGCGAGUGUAGAGGUGAAAUUCGUAGAUAUUCGCAAGAACACCAGUGGCGAAGGCGGCUCACUGGCCCGGUACUGACGCUGAGGUGCGAAAGCGUGGGGAGCAAACAGG
rnacentral:rRNA from 1 species